UACGUAGGGGGCAAGCGUUGUCCGGAUUUAUUGGGCGUAAAGAGCUCGUAGGUGGUUCGGUAAGUCGGAUGUGAAAUCUCCAGGCUCAACCUGGAGGGGUCAUUCGAUACUGCCGUGGCUAGAGUUCGGUAGGGGAGUGUGGAAUUCCUGGUGGAGCGGUGAAAUGCGCAGAUAUCAGGAGGAACACCCGUAGCGAAGGCGGCACUCUGGGCCGAUACUGACACUGAGGAGCGAAAGCGUGGGGAGCGAACAGG
rnacentral:rRNA from 1 species